rnacentral:rRNA from 1 species
GACGAACGCUGGCGGCGUGCUUAACACAUGCAAGUCGAACGGAAGGGCCCUGCUUUUGUGGGGUGCUCGAGUGGCGAACGGGUGAGUAACACGUGAGUAACCUGCCCUUGACUUUGGGAUAACUUCAGGAAACUGGGGCUAAUACCGGAUAGGAGCUCCUGCUGCAUGGUGGGGGUUGGAAAGUUUCGGCGGUUGGGGAUGGACUCGCGGCUUAUCAGCUUGUUGGUGGGGUAGUGGCUUACCAAGGCUUUGACGGGUAGCCGGCCUGAGAGGGUGACCGGCCACAUUGGGACUGAGAUACGGCCCAGACUCCUACGGGAGGCAGCAGUGGGGAAUAUUGCACAAUGGGCGGAAGCCUGAUGCAGCAACUCCGCGUGCGGGAUGACGGCCUUCGGGUUGUAAACCGCUUUCGCCUGUGACGAAGCGUGAGUGACGGUAAUGGGUAAAGAAGCACCGGCUAACUACGUG